rnacentral:rRNA from 1 species
UACGUAGGGGGCAAGCGUUGUCCGGAUUUAUUGGGCGUAAAGAGCGUGUAGGCGGCUUCACAGGUCUGCUGUGAAAACUCGAGGCUCAACCUCGAGCUGUCGGUGGAAACCGUGGGGCUAGAGUCCGGAAGAGGAGAGUGGAAUUCCCGGUGUAGCGGUGAAAUGCGCAGAUAUCAGGAGGAACACCGGUGGCGAAGGCGGGUCUCUGGGCAACAACUGACGCUGAGGAGCGAAAGCGUGGGGAGCGAACAGG